rnacentral:rRNA from 1 species
UACGGAGGGUGCGAGCGUUGUUCGGAAUUACUGGGCGUAAAGGGUGCGUAGGCGGCUUUUUAAGUUUGGUGUGAAAUCUCCUGGCUCAACUGGGAGGGUGCGCCGAAUACUGAGAAGCUAGAGUGUGGGAGAGGAAAGUGGAAUUCCUGGUGUAGCGGUGAAAUGCGCAGAUAUCAGGAGGAACACCGAUGGCGAAGGCAGGUCUCUGGGCCACUACUGACGCUGAGAAGCGAAAGCAUGGGGAGCGAACAGG